rnacentral:tRNA from 8 species
GCGGGCGUGAUGAAAUUGGCAGACAUGCUGGCUUUAGGUGCCAGUGCUCGAAAGAGCGUGUGGGUUCGAGUCCCUCCGCCCGCACCA